rnacentral:rRNA from 1 species
UACGUAGGGGGCUAGCGUUGUCCGGAAUUAUUGGGCGUAAAGAGCUUGUAGGCGGUUUGUCGCGUCUGCCGUGAAAUUUCGAGGCUCAACCUCGAACUUGCGGUGGGUACGGGCAGACUAGAGUGUGGUAGGGGAGACUGGAAUUCCUGGUGUAGCGGUGAAAUGCGCAGAUAUCAGGAGGAACACCGAUGGCGAAGGCAGCUCGCUGGGACGUUACUGACGCUGAGACGCGAAAGCGUGGGGAGCAAACAGG